rnacentral:rRNA from 1 species
AGACGCCCUAGAUCCACGGCUGACAGCCCACAGGCCGCAACGAGCCCAAACCACACCUCACCCGGUGCGACCCCUCCAGAUCUCCAACUGGACCACCGCCCCUAUGGCCGCCACCAGCUCGCCGUCGACGGCGGCGGCGGCGAUGUGGGCCUUCGCCGCCGCUACUUGCGUCAAGCUUCUGCUCGUCCCCACCUACCGCUCCACCGAUUUCGACGUCCACCGGUACUGGCUCGCCCUCACCCACACCCUCCCCGCCCGGCAGUGGUACACCGACGCCUCCUCCCAGUGGACGCUCGACUACCCGCCCUUCUUCGCCUACUUCUCCCGCCUCCUCUCUCUCCCCGCGCCCUUCGUCGACGCCUCCCUCGUCGCCAUCCCUGUGCCUGCCUCGCCGCCCUCCUCAGCCUACAUCCUCUACCUCCGCUUCACAGUCGCCUUCUCGGACCUCCUCCUCCUCCUCGCAUCCGUCCUCCUCCUGGCGAGGGACGCUCGCCGGAGGCAGCGUCCGUUCCUCGCUCUCUUGCUCGUCCUGUGGUCACCGGCGCUGCUCAUCGUGGACCACAUUCACUUUCAGUACAACGGGUUCCUGAUGGGGCUGCUGUUGCUUUCUCUGCAUUUUCUAGAGCAGGGGAAGGAUCUUGCCGGGGGAGUAGUCUUUGCAGCGUUGCUUUGUUCGAAGCACCUCUUUCUCGUGGCUGCACCUGUCUAUUUCGUGUACUUGUUCCGGCAUUAUUGCUGUGGCCGGGGCCUAGCGAGGGGCCUUGGGAGGCUCGUUCUCAUGGGUGCUGGCGUGGUUGCUGUUUUUGCCAUGGCAUUCACACCCUUCGUGUACUACGGGCAGGUGAGUUGAUCCCUUAGUUCAUUUUGGAAUUGGAUGUCUCUUCAUGAUCAUUUGGUCAUUGUUGUUACAGUCAUAAGUUAGAAAUCAAGUUUAGGAGGCAUUGUGAAUUGAUGAGAAUGAGAACUGUUAUAGAGUUAAAUUCUAGUCAGUCAACAUUGAAUUUGGUAGAAAUCUGCAAAAUUUCGAGUAGUUCCUGUGUUCGUGCUGGUUUGCAAAAGAAAAGGUAUAUAUGGAACAGAAGCUGAUAGACUUGUGCAAGUCUCUCAUAGCUUUUGUUUCAGCUCUGGUAAUUGCUAUGGCGUACAACUGAAGAUGCUCUCAUCUUGGUCCACUUACAGUUGUUGAACAAAAUGGUGUCUCUGUAGUCAAGGCUAUGCAACAUCUCUUUGACUAGUUUUUGCUGUCAUCUCUUCUGUAUGUGGAACACAUAUAUAGUCUAUUCAUUCUCUAAAAAAAAGAAUUUACAAUUCUCAUGCACAUAAGUAUGUCCAGAAAUCUGCACUCAUAGAGACCAUUAUGUUGGCUAAAGUUCAACAACGUGAGUUUAGGAGUGAAAUGCACCGAUAGUCCAUUAACUCAAACUCGUUGCACACUUUAGGCCAAGAACUCGGAAAGUGAUCGAUUUAGGCCAUAAACUCGUUUAUUUGAUCAAUUAAGGCCAAAACCAAUGCAGAAGAGAAAAAACGGUCCAUGUGGGUGCCAUGUCGGUGUAUCUUGGACUGCUGAUGCUUGGUUUAAUUUUUACAGGGUGUUUACUGCAAAAGAAUCCGUCACAAUUUAGCUAAUGACACAUUUUAAAAAAGAUUAGCACACAAUGCGUUGGAUGUGAAUCGAACCUAGGCUUCACGGAAAAUGAAGGACACCUCUAACCACUAGAAUGCAUGCUAUUUUGUGUAUGUAGCAGGUUAAUUAGUUAUUUGUACACGCAAGGAUAUCGUUUAUUGGUUUUCUACGAAAACAACCAAUUAUUAAUGAGAUGAUGUUAUUUGCGGUUUUUUUUUAAGCAGUGCACUAUGGGAGGCUCUAACUGAAGAUGCUCUCAUCUUGGUCCACUUACAGGCGUUGAACGAAAUGGUGUCUCUGUAGUCAAGGCUAUGCAAUACAGUAUCGCUUUGACUAGUUUUUGCUGACAUCUCUGUUGUAUGUGGAACACAUAUAUAGUCUAUUAAUUCUCUCAAAUAAAUAGAAUUUACAAUUCUCAAGCACAUAAGUAUGUCCAGAACUCUGCACUCUUAGACACCAUUAUGUUGGCUAAAGUUCAACAACGUGAAUUUAGUACAGGUAUUUAGCAAGAAAUAUUUUCUGCCUGUAUAUUGCUAAGUUGCAUGAAGGCAUUUUCCUUAAUGUGAGUUUGUCUAUAACAUUUUGUCAUUUCUAUUUUAUGUGUCAACAGCGAUUGUGUGAUCUCAUUAAUUUAAUCAUAAUUCUAGCCAUUUAGCACUGAAUUCGGUAGAAAUGGUGAAUUUGUAAUAAUCAAAUAAUUCUUAUGCUGGUGCUGGUUUGCACAAAUACAAAAGGAAUAUCAGCUGAUUACUAUGCCUUGUAACUUUUGUUGCGGAACUUGCACUCUUAAAUAUCAUUGGGUUUGCUUGAACUAGGUCAAUUUCCUGCAAGCAUUUGGAGUGAAUUUUUUUCCUGCAAGUAUUUAACAAUAGGCAUUAUUCUUUAUACAUCAUACUAAUUUUGGUUUCAUGAAGAUAUUCACUCUAAUGUAAAUUUUAGCAUUUGCCACGUAAACAGUCAUUACCAAUAUGCUCUCAUGAAUUUAGUUGUACUGUUGACACCAUGGCUACCACACUUAUUGCUUUGGUAAUUUUGCAGAUGCAACAGCUCUUAAGCCGAUUGUUUCCUUUUGGUCGGGGUCUAUUUCAUGCUUACUGGGCUCCAAACUUUUGGGUAUUCUAUAUAGUACUUGACAAGAUCCUUGCAUUUCUUCUUAGAAGACUAGGAUUCAGUAUUGAGAUACCUGAAGCAUCAUUUACUAGGGGGCUUGUUGGUGAUUCAUCUCCUUUUGCUGUUCUUCCAAAGGUCACCCCAAUAACUACCUUCUUAUUGGUUAUACUUGCUAUGACUCCUUGUCUUGUCAAAGCAUUCGCUAACCCCCAACCGAAACACAUAAUUAGAUGGGUGGCAUAUGCUUGUUCAUGUGGGUUUAUGUUUGGAUGGCAUGUACAUGAGAAGGCAUCACUUCAUUUCACCAUCCCACUUGCCCUAAUUGCCAUGGAUAGCUUGGACGACAUCAGACAUUACUUCUUAUUGUCAAUAGUUUCAUGCUACUCUCUGUUCCCAUUGCUGUUUGAGGACCAAGAAUACCCAAUAAAAGUGCUGCUGCUGUUGACCUACAGUGCUCUCAUGUGGGUAGGGUUUUCAACCCAUUUCGCUGCAAACCCUGCUCCGGGAGGGAAGAAAUUAGAUGCAUCAGACAGCAUAGUCGAGAAAAAAUUCACUGGAUGGAUCAGUUUGGGAUAUCUUCUAGGAAUGUUUGCUAUAGAAUUCUGGUCUCGACUAUUCCAUCACCAUGUAUUUGGGGAUAGACUUCCGUUCCUACCUCUCAUGAUGGUUUCAGUGUACUGUGGCGUCGGAAUGAUGUACUCAUGGAUAUGGCAGCUAUCUUGGAUUAUCAGGCACACUUGAUAUGAUCUUCAGUGAUCAGUACCAGCACUCUUUCUAACCCAUCAGCCGAGACAAAGUUUGAUGACUCGCCCCCUUGACUGAUGCAUUGGGCAAUCAUUGUUGCUGCUUCCAAGGACAUUUUCUUAUGGUUUAUACAUUCAAUUCUACAGCGUCAACGAAAUUUGGGGGAUGUAAUCUUGUUAUGAUGUAAUAUCUGUUACAGUGUAGCUGCAUGUAUAAGCCCAGUCUUCAUGGUUGGGAAUAUCUUUCCCUGACAAUUUUGACAACCUGAUGUGUUGAGUGUGUGAUGUAAAAAGGAAAAUUUCCAGUUUUUCAUUACAGAAAAAUUGAGUCAUAUGCUAUCUGUAU